UUCAACGGAUAGCUGCUGCCUGUGUUCGUGGUGCUCCAGCGGCGGCUUAAGGUGGCGGCAGAGGCCGGACCUUGUUGAGCCGGGCUGUGCGACCCCAGCUCCCGCCCCUCGGGGAGCCACCGCCGGCGGGGGUGGUCGCUCCGAGGCGCCGCCCCAAGGUGUCGGCAGGCUGCGAGGCCCUGCUCUGGCGCCGCCAUCUUGGUUGUGUGGGGAGGCGUGUGUGCGGUCGGAGGGGGUGUCAAAACGCAGGAGCAGAGAGGCGCCCGGGGGGUGAGGGCAGCAGCCCAUCUUUGCGCUAGCACCCAUCGUAUGGCAACGGAGAAUGGGCUUCCGUGACCUCGGCUGAACCUGAAGAUGUAUAAAAGAAGCACGUUGGGCAUUGUUCAUGGGGAAUUGUUUUUAACAACACAAUUUUCCAAGACUGUGAAAUAUUGAAAUAUUAAAGGGGAAAUAUAGUGUAAUGAAAGAAAGAUUUACAUAUACUUCACACCACUAGCUGAUUUCAGAGAUUUUAUGGAUUUGUUAAAAUUCGUUGUUUCAGUAUACCUGCUUGGACUUUGAGCUCACAGCUGCCUUGUGGAGAAGUACUAGGUGAAUAACAACAGUGGUUGCUGGUGAAUCACGGGAAUAUAAUUUACAAUAUGGUGGAUUAAUACUUCCACAUAAUAAAAUAAGAUGCUCCAUUACUACAAUGUGAAGCUUUAAGUGCUCAUGUUGUGGAUAUAGGUGUGUUUUAACAGGGUCCCAAAUUAAAACAAUGUAAUUAUUGCUUACAGGCUAGCAACUAGUAUUUUUAAAGCAAUUGAAAUAAUAAAAGAGCCUAGUAAAGUCUGGGAAGGUGGAGAAGAGGCUGAAAAAACAAGUGUUGAAUGUUUGGUUAGAGAAAAAUAUUAUUUGAAGGAGACAUUUCAGUUAAGGACAUCUUUCUCCAGAAGGCAUGUGCUACUGGGAGGAAAAUUUCAUGCAGAUUGUUCAGGAUCUGGCAGUUUUAUGGUAAAUGCUGCAUUUGUUCUUAGAAGGUUUCAGUGAUGUUUUUCCAGAAAACUGCUUUUUGAAGGACAAACGCAGUAUCUGUGGACUUGUUUCUGCUGCUUUUGCAUAAUCUGCAAUUUCAUAUUCACAAUAUGUAUUAGUCUUAAAAAAAAAAUUAAUGCAGCAACCAAAUAAUUUUGACAUAUUCUUUAAUCAAAAACAAUGUGUGUUGCUGCUGAACAUCCGUCACUUUUGGCUUUAAAAUUCAUUUGUAGUGCUAGGAUAGCAAAUGAAUUGUGUUCUGUCUCUGUAGGGUUUAGUGAUAUAAAUUAUGUUGUAGAGAAAUAAGGUCAAAUGUAUCUUUGAAACCAGUGAAGAGAAUGGAUGUUAUAUCAAAAUAAAUUUGGCCUCAGCGUUGAACGUGACUGCUUUGAAAACACUUUUUUGUCCCAGCUCCACAACCAUCAUAUAGUGAUGAAGAAAAAUCUUCCCCUUUAAAAAAAACCUUCAUUGCAAAUAUAAACACAUCUUGAUUAUUAGUGUUAGAUUCAGAAAGAGAACUAGGCAACUCACUCCACUUCUAAGCACCUGAAUGUAUCAUCAAAAUUGUAUUUUUGUGUUUGUUUGUUUGUUUUUUUAAAUGCAAAAUGGAACGCUUCCAGUGAGGGGGCAGAAGUGCCAACAUCUCAGCUCACAGUCUUAUGUAUCAGAGACUUCGGGCAAGUAGGAGGUAGGGAUUUGUGCCUGCUCAGUUAGCGGAGGGAGUUGAAACUUGCAUCCUUGGAUUUCUGCAUGUGCCUCCCAAGUGAAGCGUGGUAAGGGAGUGUAGGCAGACCUAAGUUAGCCAUGAGACGCUCCCCGAGCUGCCCCAUCACCACGAAGGCUGAGAUGCCUCUGAGCGUAACACAUGCCUUGGGAACUUUGGGCACCACUGAUAAAGACAAGAACUUGGAGACAGCAUUCUUGACUUAAUAAUUACCUUAAUUUAUUAAAAUCCUAUUUAGGAUAAGUCUGAGCCAUUACAGCUGGAAGUGUAUGAACUCUGCAAUGUAUGCAUCAGCAUCCUGGAAUUCUCUUUAGUAGAAUUAAGUAAUGUUAAACCAACGCCCUUUUCAUCUUCUCAGGAUUUGCAGUAGUUUAACUUUUUUUUUUUUUUUGGCAGUAAAAAAGCUAGAAUAUUCUAUUAUUCAUGUUGUGCCUCCAUACUGUGCUUCAAGGAUGCUUUGAUUGAUGAAGACUGCUUUCUGGAUGUUUUUUCCCUUUCUGUUUUUAUAACCAAAACUGUCAAUCCUCUCCUAAGACCUAGUAAAUAAUGAGAUCAAUUGCUGGGUAGUUGGUGGAAAAGCAAGGACAGUGACUGAGUCAACCCUGGACUGCAGAGGGAACCUUCUAGUAGCCCAUCAGAGUGACAUGAACUGCCUCCCUGCUGGAUGCACCAUCUGAAGCGUGAUGAGCCAGCUACUACAAGAUGGGAGAAGAUGGCGAAGGGGAGUGCUUCCUCAAGGAAGGAUUGGGUUAACCUGUACCACAGAGCAGAUUCUCCUCCUUUCUUUCUGUCCUGCACCUUUCAUGGCCGUGAGUUUACUGCAGUUCUGGAGAUGGAGAAAGGAGUCAACUUGUAACUGGGGCUUUAAGUCCAUUUUUGUUACAGUAAUAAAAAAAUUAUAAGGAGUAUUGAUCCUUGGGGUUUUAGUUUGGAGAGGAAAGUGGCAUCACAUCUUUCUGUGCCACAAGUGAAACCUGUCAGCUGAAAUAAGGUAGGCAGUUCUGGCAUCCACACUUGAAGAGAGGUGUUGAAAAACUAAAAAGACUUCACAAACACAUUUCAAGAAUCGCUGGGGUCCAUAAAACUUGAUUUUACAGGGAGAGACACCCAAGAGAAGAUUCAGUACAAAAAAAAAGGUUGAGACACCAUUUGAUAGCAAGCUCUGUUGUUCCUGGUGGUAGACGGCUUUUAGUCGAGCAGUAAAAAGGUGCAAUGAACCUUAGUGGUUAGAAGUUGGAGCUAGUUCAGAGCAAGAAAGUGCACAUUUCUAACAGUGAAAGGAAGUGCUUUUACCCAGAUGAACUGAGCAGAACAGAUGGGGGAGUUUUGAGUCGUGAGUGCCCCCAGCUGUCUGCUCUGCCCUGCUGCUGCAGGUGACUGCUCUUACAAAAGCCUACAGAAGGAGGUGAGAGGCUCUAUUUUGGGUACUUCAGAGUAAGUCUGGUUUUUUCAGUUAAACUCAUCUUCACUGGUAACUGAAGCUGCGGUUCUGGGGAAGGGGGAAUUGUACCGCACUAAAUUACCAUAGCAGUAUGUGCCAGAACUGGUGGGUUGUGUCCACACUACACCAUGAGAACAAUGUGAAAGGCCUGGUUGACUACGUCACCUGGUGAAAUAAGUGCCACGAAGCAGUUCUCAAAAGCAGGAUGCUGAAAGCAGCUAACCCCAUGGUUUUAACUGGAUCCUAGCUCUGAGGUCAUGUCCAGGCUGGACCAGCCUCUGUGUGACAAGGAUAGCUGGGUACCUGUGCCAGGGAGAUAAUUAGGUACUGAUCACCUGAACAUAAUGUAUAAUGAAGUGAGAUGACAGAGGUGACAGAGGUGAUUGAGGGUGCCAGAGCAGUGGCACAGGCUGCCCAGGGAGGUUGUGGACUCUCCUUCCCUGGAGACAUUCAAAACCCACCUGGAUGUGUUCCUGUGCCCCCUGCUCUGGGUGUGCCUGCUCAAGCAGUGGGGCUGGAUGAGAUGAUCUCCAGAGGUCCCUUCCAACCCCUGCCAUUCUGUGAUUCUGUGAAGUCCAUGCUAGGAUACAUCAUGCGUGAUGUAUGAGUGUUAACUUGAGCCAGCAAUGCACCCUUGCGGCAAAGGCAGCCAAGGGCACACAGGGCUGCAGGAGGGGAAGAGCUGCCAGCAGGUGAGGGAGGUGACCCUUCUUUGCUCAGCACUGGUGGCACACAUCCUUGCAGAUACUCAAAACCUGACUGGACACGGUCCUGGACAACCUACUCUGGCUGAGCCUGCUUGAGCAGGGGGGUUGGACUAGAUGAUCUCCAGAGGUCCCCAUAACCUCAGCCAUUCUGUGAUUCUGCAUAUUAUGUGCGAGGAGUGAUGGGGCUUAUGACACUGGUCCUAAUAAGAUACUUUAUCAGUUGAAUUCUCAUGUAUGUGGUGUUUUGAUUAGGGCUUUUCACUGUGGCAUCAUCACCCAACUGCUGUGGAUUAACACCUCGGGAUUUCUUCCAAUGGGGUUUGGAGUCUCCUUGCCCUAUGGCAUUUUAAGACUCAGCCGCAGACCUAGAAAUCUGAUGAUGUUUUUUAUUCUUAGGUGCAUGAGCUUGCGUUUGGGUUCUCAUCUGCAUUACCAAAACUGGACAUUUUUUUAUCUCAGAAAUGAUCAGCCAUUCUGUACAAUAGAACUGUUGCUUUUGUUGUUUUCCACGUUAGCAAUCUGUGUGUCAUAUUGCACAUUUUAUGUGCGGUAAUGCUAUGUUUUCAUCAAGAGCACUGAUAAACGUAUUGAAAAAAUUCAUGCUGAAACAGAUCCCUCCGUAAGCUCACAAAAUAUGAAGUCCCUUGGAAUAAAACCACUUCAGCUGUAGUAUAUUUUUAUGGCCCAGUUGUUAACCAGUUUUUAAAAUUACCAUUUACUAUGAGAUACAUUGUUACUGUUGGGAGUUAUUUUUUAAUGCAAGAUUAUGUUGUAUGUUUGGUAAAGACACUAUUUCAACCACGAUCUUCAUUAUCAGUCUAAUGCUUAAUCUCAUUAAAACAGUAUCAAAUUUGUUUGACAGUCUGAGUU